AUUUUCUCCAAUGGACUAAGGGACCCUUAUAGCAGCGGCGGAGUGUUGCAUAACUUAUCUGACAGUCUCCUUGCACUCCAUACGCCUAAUGGAUCUCAUUGUUUGGACAUUUUACGAGCAAAUGAAACGGAUCCACAGUGGUUGGUGGAACAAAGAGAGACAGAGGUUAACAUCAUUAAAGGAUGGAUCAGUAAGUACUAUGCUGAUCUUGGCAGUCCAAACAAUAUAUAAACAACAAAUAAUGAUGAUGAAACACUAUAAACAGGAUACGAAAAUCAUACUGACAUGUA